rnacentral:rRNA from 1 species
GACGAACGCUGGCGGCGUGCUUAACACAUGCAAGUCGAACGGUGAAGCGCCUUCCUUUUUGGUGGGUGUGGAUGAGUGGCGAACGGGUGAGUAACACGUGAGUAACCUGCCCCCUUCUUCUGGAUAACCGCAUGAAAGUGUUGCUAAUACGGGAUAUUCUGGGUCUGUCGCAUGAUGGGUCUGGGAAAGAUAUUGUUUCGGUGGGGGAUGGGCUCGCGGCCUAUCAGCUUGUUGGUUGGGUGAUGGCCUACCAAGGCGGUGACGGGUAGCCGGCCUGAGAGGGUGGACGGUCACACUGGGACUGAGACACGGCCCAGACUCCUACGGGAGGCAGCAGUGGGGAAUAUGGCACAAUGGGCGCAAGCCUGAUGCAGCGACGCCGCGUGAGGGAUGGAGGCCUGCGGGUUGUGAACCUCUUUCGCCAGUGAAGCAGGCCUGCCUCGUUUGUGGGUGGGUUGACGGUAGCUGGAGAAGAAGCGCCGGCUAACUACGUG